UGAGCAUCGCAGCCCCCACUGUUUUCCCGCUGUCCCUGUGCAAUCAGGAGCUUUCCGAUUCCUCCCAAGUCAGCAUGGGUUGUCUGGUCACCGGCUACUUCCCUGAGCCAGUUACAGUCCAGUGGAAUUCAGGUGCCAUCUCCACCGGCAUCCAGACUUUCCCUGCUGUCUUCGACUCUUCUAACAGCCGUUAUACACUCAGCAGCCAGCUCACUGUCUCAGCCAGCAGCUGGAAAUCCGAGAAGUUCCAAUGCACGGUGGAGCAUGUAGCUUCCUCCUCCACACUCCAUCGUGAAAUCAGAUCCUGCACUGGAGAGACACUGAAGAUCAACGCCACCAUUGAAGGCGGUUAUAUCAAUAGCCCAAUCAUCAGAGAGGGGAGCACCUUUUUCUUCUACAGUAAACUGAAAGUCAAGAAGACAGACUGGAACAAAGGUGAUACCUACACCCUGACGAUUGUCCACGAAGGCUUUCCUGAGAAGUUUAUCCAAAAAAGAAUUGCAAAAUCACAGGGUAAAAAAUGAAGACCCUCCUCAUCCAGAGUUGCACCCCUUUCCUCCUUCCCCAGAAUUUUCUUUACUACUGUUAGAUCAAACCCUCUGUGACUGUACAUGCAUGUGUUGCCAAUGGCUGAAUAAAAGAGAACUUGCCCAA